CACAGAUUUUUUUUUUUAGGUCAGACUCAUUGGUCACCUCCAGGCAUUAAACAAGAACAUACUAUGAAGGUGGUGGAACACUGAUUCAUGCCAGUGAGGAGCAGCAAGGACACUAAGCGGGUGCACCCUGUCAAGACAGAGGCGACAAUACUGCCGUCUGCAGCUGCAGAAAGAUUUCAUGACGAAGGGAAACGUAGAAGAAUACCUGGGAAACAGAAAAAGGAUCCUAUCCCAUAGCUGUCUGAUCCACCCGAGUGUUCUAGCAGCUGCACAUGUGAACUGUACAUUCAUUAAUGCUGGCUGAUUGCGGUUUUCAUUUUUGAAGGUAACUUUGCACAGAUGUGUGUGAAUUUACUGUAUCUUUUGCCAGUACAACACGGACUUAACUUCUGAAAAGAAUGAAAGCAGAAUGCAAUGCGAGUCCUUUUUUGUUUUUUACAGUUUUCAAUCCACAU